rnacentral:rRNA from 1 species
CCUACGGGAGGCAGCAGUGGGGGAUAUUGCACAAUGGGGGAAACCCUGAUGCAGCAACGCCGCGUGGGUGAAGAAGUACUUCGGUAUGUAAAGCUCUGUCAGCAGGGAAGAAAAUGACGGUACCUGACCAAGAAGCCCCGGCUAACUACGUGCCAGCAGCCGCGGUAAUACGUAGGGGGCAAGCGUUAUCCGGAUUUACUGGGUGUAAAGGGAGCGUAGACGGCAAUGCAAGUCUGGAGUGAAAGCCCGUGGCUCAACCACGGGACUGCUUUGGAAACUGUGUUGCUGGAGUGCAGGAGGGGCAAGCGGAAUUCCUAGUGUAGCGGUGAAAUGCGUAGAUAUUAGGAGGAACACCGGCGGCGAAGGCGGCCUACUGGACUGAAACUGACGUUGAGGCUCGAAGGCGUGGGGAGCAAACAGGAUUAGAUACCCUUGUAGUC